rnacentral:rRNA from 1 species
GGUUAAGCGACUAAGCGUACACGGUGGAUGCCCUGGCAGUCAGAGGCGAUGAAGGACGUGCUAAUCUGCGAUAAGCGUCGGUAAGGUGAUAUGAACCGUUAUAACCGGCGAUUUCCGAAUGGGGAAACCCAGUGUGUUUCGACACACUAUCAUUAACUGAAUCCAUAGGUUAAUGAGGCGAACCGGGGGAACUGAAACAUCUAAGUACCCCGAGGAAAAGAAAUCAACCGAGAUUCCCCCAGUAGCGGCGAGCGAACGGGGAGCAGCCCAGAGCCUGAAUCAGUGUGUGUGUUAGUGGAAGCGUCUGGAAAGGCGCGCGAUACAGGGUGACAGCCCCGUACACAAAAAUGCACAUGCUGUGAGCUCGAUGAGUAGGGCGGGACACGUGGUAUCCUGUCUGAAUAUGGGGGGACCAUCCUCCAAGGCUAAAUACUCCUGACUGACCGAUAGUGAACCAGUACCGUGAGGGAAAGGCGAAAAGAACCCCGGCGAGGGGAGUGAAAAAGAACCUGAAACCGUGUACGUACAAGCAGUGGGAGCACGCUUAGGCGUGUGACUGCGUACCUUUUGUAUAAUGGGUCAGCGACUUAUAUUCUGUAGCAAGGUUAACCGAAUAGGGGAGCCGAAGGGAAACCGAGUCUUAACUGGGCGUUAAGUUGCAGGGUAUAGACCCGAAACCCGGUGAUCUAGCCAUGGGCAGGUUGAAGGUUGGGUAACACUAACUGGAGGACCGAACCGACUAAUGUUGAAAAAUUAGCGGAUGACUUGUGGCUGGGGGUGAAAGGCCAAUCAAACCGGGAGAUAGCUGGUUCUCCCCGAAAGCUAUUUAGGUAGCGCCUCGUGAAUUCAUCUCCGGGGGUAGAGCACUGUUUCGGCAAGGGGGUCAUCCCGACUUACCAACCCGAUGCAAACUGCGAAUACCGGAGAAUGUUAUCACGGGAGACACACGGCGGGUGCUAACGUCCGUCGUGAAGAGGGAAACAACCCAGACCGCCAGCUAAGGUCCCAAAGUCAUGGUUAAGUGGGAAACGAUGUGGGAAGGCCCAGACAGCCAGGAUGUUGGCUUAGAAGCAGCCAUCAUUUAAAGAAAGCGUAAUAGCUCACUGGUCGAGUCGGCCUGCGCGGAAGAUGUAACGGGGCUAAACCAUGCACCGAAGCUGCGGCAGCGACGCUUAUGCGUUGUUGGGUAGGGGAGCGUUCUGUAAGCCUGUGAAGGUGUGCUGUGAGGCAUGCUGGAGGUAUCAGAAGUGCGAAUGCUGACAUAAGUAACGAUAAAGCGGGUGAAAAGCCCGCUCGCCGGAAGACCAAGGGUUCCUGUCCAACGUUAAUCGGGGCAGGGUGAGUCGACCCCUAAGGCGAGGCCGAAAGGCGUAGUCGAUGGGAAACAGGUUAAUAUUCCUGUACUUGGUGUUACUGCGAAGGGGGGACGGAGAAGGCUAUGUUGGCCGGGCGACGGUUGUCCCGGUUUAAGCGUGUAGGCUGGUUUUCCAGGCAAAUCCGGAAAAUCAAGGCUGAGGCGUGAUGACGAGGCACUACGGUGCUGAAGCAACAAAUGCCCUGCUUCCAGGAAAAGCCUCUAAGCAUCAGGUAACAUCAAAUCGUACCCCAAACCGACACAGGUGGUCAGGUAGAGAAUACCAAGGCGCUUGAGAGAACUCGGGUGAAGGAACUAGGCAAAAUGGUGCCGUAACUUCGGGAGAAGGCACGCUGAUAUGUAGGUGAGGUCCCUCGCGGAUGGAGCUGAAAUCAGUCGAAGAUACCAGCUGGCUGCAACUGUUUAUUAAAAACACAGCACUGUGCAAACACGAAAGUGGACGUAUACGGUGUGACGCCUGCCCGGUGCCGGAAGGUUAAUUGAUGGGGUUAGCGCAAGCGAAGCUCUUGAUCGAAGCCCCGGUAAACGGCGGCCGUAACUAUAACGGUCCUAAGGUAGCGAAAUUCCUUGUCGGGUAAGUUCCGACCUGCACGAAUGGCGUAAUGAUGGCCAGGCUGUCUCCACCCGAGACUCAGUGAAAUUGAACUCGCUGUGAAGAUGCAGUGUACCCGCGGCAAGACGGAAAGACCCCGUGAACCUUUACUAUAGCUUGACACUGAACAUUGAGCCUUGAUGUGUAGGAUAGGUGGGAGGCUUUGAAGUGUGGACGCCAGUCUGCAUGGAGCCGACCUUGAAAUACCACCCUUUAAUGUUUGAUGUUCUAACGUUGACCCGUAAUCCGGGUUGCGGACAGUGUCUGGUGGGUAGUUUGACUGGGGCGGUCUCCUCCUAAAGAGUAACGGAGGAGCACGAAGGUUGGCUAAUCCUGGUCGGACAUCAGGAGGUUAGUGCAAUGGCAUAAGCCAGCUUGACUGCGAGCGUGACGGCGCGAGCAGGUGCGAAAGCAGGUCAUAGUGAUCCGGUGGUUCUGAAUGGAAGGGCCAUCGCUCAACGGAUAAAAGGUACUCCGGGGAUAACAGGCUGAUACCGCCCAAGAGUUCAUAUCGACGGCGGUGUUUGGCACCUCGAUGUCGGCUCAUCACAUCCUGGGGCUGAAGUAGGUCCCAAGGGUAUGGCUGUUCGCCAUUUAAAGUGGUACGCGAGCUGGGUUUAGAACGUCGUGAGACAGUUCGGUCCCUAUCUGCCGUGGGCGCUGGAGAACUGAGGGGGGCUGCUCCUAGUACGAGAGGACCGGAGUGGACGCAUCACUGGUGUUCGGGUUGUCAUGCCAAUGGCACUGCCCGGUAGCUAAAUGCGGAAGAGAUAAGUGCUGAAAGCAUCUAAGCACGAAACUUGCCCCGAGAUGAGUUCUCCCUGACCCUUUAAGGGUCCUGAAGGAACGU